UACGGGAGGCAGCAGGGGGAAUAUUGCACAAUGGGCGAAAGCCUGAUGCAGCUAUGCCGCGUGUAUGAAGAAGGCCUUAGGGUUGUAAAGUACUUUCAUCGGGGAGGAAAAAACAAAACUAAUAAUUUUAUUUCUUGACGUUACCCGAAAAAGAAGCACCGGCUAACUCCGUGCCAGCAGCCGCGGUAAUACGGAGGGUGCUAGCGUUAAUCAGAAUUACUGGGCGUAAAGAGCACGUAGGUGGUUUUUUAAAGUCAGAUGUGAAAUCCCUGGGCUUAACCUAGGAACUGCAUUUUGAAACUGAAAUACUAGAGUAUCGUAGAGGGAGGUAGAAUUCUAGGUGUAGCGGUGAAAUGCGUAGAUAUCUGGAGGAAUACCUGUGGCGAAAGCGGCCUCCUAAACGAAUACUGACACUGAGGUGCGAAAGCGUGGGGAGCAAACAGGGAUUAGAUACC
rnacentral:rRNA from 1 species